rnacentral:rRNA from 1 species
AGUGAACGCUGGCGGUAGGCCUAACACAUGCAGGUCGAACGGCAGCACAGUAAGAGCUUGCUCUUACGGGUGGCGAGUGGCGGACGGGUGAGGAAUACAUCGGAAUCUACUUUUUCGUGGGGGAUAACGUAGGGAAACUUACGCUAAUACCGCAUACGACCUACGGGUGAAAGCAGGGGAUCUUCGGACCUUGCGCGAUUGAAUGAGCUGAUGUCGGAUUAGCUAGUUGGCGGGGUAAAGGCCCACCAAGGCGACGAUCCGUAGCUGGUCUGAGAGGAUGAUCAGCCACACUGGAACUGAGACACGGUCCAGACUCCUACGGGAGGCAGCAGUGGGGAAUAUUGGACAAUGGGCGCAAGCCUGAUCCAGCCAUACCGCGUGGGUGAAGAAGGCCUUCGGGUUGUAAAGCCCUUUUGUUGGGAAAGAAAAGCAGCAGGUUAAUACCCCGCUGUUCUGACGGUACCCAAAGAAUAAGCACCGGCUAACUUCGUG